CAGCCCUAUAGGAGACACCUCCAGAGAAAGUAACAACUCUCAGUUGAUUAGCUGAGAAGCUUCAGGGGCUGGAUCCUGACAUGAACCAGGCACCUCCAGAAUUCUAUCCCAAGCAAAAGAUUACUUCAAGGCCAGAACUCACUCCCUGCUGGAGACUGACUACAAGAUCCACUGAGAUUGACUUGUAACCUGAUUGGGCCCACAGUGAUGCUAGCCCCUUCACCAGAUGGAACAAUAAUUCCAGACAAGCCAUCAGAGCAGAGAGCAGAGAAGAGGAGAAGCAGCUGGACGUCUCUUGACGUUGGAGAAAAGCAGCUUGACUUCAGAGGGACAGUUUGACAGCAUGGAUUCAGAAAGGAGAAGAUCACCUUCCUGCUCCAUCCCCUUUCCAGCUCCCCUUCCCACUGAGAGCCACUUACACUGGCAAUAAAAUCCUCUGCAUUCACCACCCUUCAAU
rnacentral:lncRNA from 1 species